CUUUUGUGUAAGAUUUCAGCGCUGAGAUCAUUCUCUGUAGAUAAAAUACAAUAUUGGAGAGAAAGUGCCGCUGGAAUCAGCAGCUUAGCGCAUUUCAUGGCCAAAGACACAAUGGAUCAUCUGAACACAAUUAUCAAACCUUUAGUGUACUUGUCCAUGUUCUACUUCUUCAACAACCCGAGAUCUAGUUUCGAAGACAACUAUAUUGUGCUAGUGUGUUUGGUCUACUGUGUAUUUAUGUUCAAAACGUAUAAAUGACUUUUCUCCUUACUGAUUUUGUUGUUGUUUUGUUAUAAUGCCUGUUACUAGUUUUGGCAAAAACCUAAGUCAAAUCAUUGUCGUAGAUUAACAAAGAAUGUUAUCGGGCAACACACGCAUUCGUGCAACCGAAGCAAUCAUCUAUGUUAUGCUUCACCAAAAAAAAAAAAAUAUAUAUAUAUAUAUAUAUAGAGCCACCCGUUUCUAUUUAUGGUAAACCAAUUAUAUAUUUAAAGAAAAACCUCUCAUUUUUCUCAGCCAUUUUUGCAUUUGCUACAAACAUGGAUCUCCUUCCAUGGCUCUUACGGUGACUAUUCUCAACUCUUUUUUUUCACACAAGACUCUCAUUUUUCACCUUUCCUACAUUGAUCUCUAGUCGUUACCAUUUCAAGUUUUCUUAUUUUGUAUUGUAACAAGCUCGUUAGUUUUUAUUUAAAUCCUUCCUCUCCCCAAAAAACUUGUUUUUCUCUGUCUUUGUCUUUUUAUAAGACGACUGAACUUUUGUUCUCAAGACAUGAUAGAGAGAAACAUAUUACGUUUCAACAAAUAUUUCUAUUGGUAGCUUCCAAUGUAUCCAUUCUACUGUUUGUUCAAAAAAUUCAACUAUUUUGGCUCAAACAGUUUUGAUUUUUUUCUCCAAAACUUUGAUUGAAAACGAUGAGACGACUUCGGAUUGAUGUUGGUUGGUUACAACACAUCUUGUUCUUCUUCGUUUGUGGCUUGGGGUUUAUAUCGCUUGCAUCAUGUUUAGAUGGAGAUGAUUACAGCAAAACAGGAAAUCCAAAAGUUCUUGUUCCCGUUACAAACCUGAUAUAUAACCGGCUUCAGAGUCUAAAGAAUGUCUUAAAGGCUGAUAUUGAUCGGGAUUUAGGAUAUUGCAUAAAAAAUUUGUAAGUAUAUAUUCUCAAAAAAAAAUUGUAAGUAUAUUCGAUAUUUGAGCAUAUACGUAUUUAGACAUAUAUUUGCCUAUAACUUAUUGAUAUAAUUCAGGAAGGACGAUUGGGAUGAAGCAUUUGAUUUUGAUAAAAAUCUGGACUUUUUAAGCAAUUGUAUCAAGAAAACCGAUGGUAAAAAGGAGAACUGUUUUAAAAAAAAACAUUUAUUACGUCAAACAUUUAAACAUUUUCAUAUUCUUGUUUUUCAGGUGACAUCACACUUAGACUAUGUUCAGCUGCUGAGAUAAAAUUCUAUUUCAGUAGUUUUAUUAGAAGGGAUGAAGUAACAACGGUUCAUGUAAAACCUAAUGUCAACUGCAAUUUGGCUAAAUGGGUUUCUGGAUGCGAACCGGGAUGGAGUUGUAAUGCAGAUGAUGAUAAAAAGUUUGAUAUCAAAAAUGGAAAAGUUCUUCCAUCUAGAACUCGUAAAUGCCAACCUUGUUGCGAGGGCUUCUUUUGUCCACAAGGUCUUGCUUGCAUGAUACGUAAGAUAUCCAUAUACAUAUACAUGUUAAUGUUAUAUCAAUAUUAUUACUAUGACUUUAACCUAACAUCUUCAUUGUUGUUUACUCUUUGACUUAUGUAAAUGGAGCUUGUCCAUUAGGUGCAUAUUGCCCACUUGCCAAGCUUAAUAAAGCAACAGGAGUUUGCGAGCCGUAAGUUGCUCAUUCUCUAGAUAAAUUUACUACUUUUAUGAAGAAAUAAUAUUAAUGGUUGAUUAAAGAGUUUUUCUUUGCAGAUAUAAUUACCAAAUCCCUCCUGGAAAGUUGAACCACACGUGCGGUUCUGCAGAUAGUUGGGCUGAUGCUGAGAGUAGUGGUGAUAUGUUUUGUUCUCCAGGUUCAUAUUGUCCAACGACGAUUCGAAAGGUCACUUGUGGUAGUGGGUAUUGAUUCUUUAUCUCACAACUUAUGCGUCGAUUGAUUUGUCAUAUAUGAGAUAUCCCUCAAAUUUGUUACAUUAAGAAUGCAAUGUGUGAUAAUAACAACAAACACAGUAUUUGCUUUUAUAUACAUAUAAAGUUAAUGAUCUGAUCAAACAUUUUCAUGUGUUAUUCAGACAUUACUGCAGACAAGGUUCUACUUCACAAAAACGUAAUUUUUUAAAAACCAGAGAAAAUGAUUUUUUUAUUAUAAAGUACAUAUGAAGUUUAUAUAAUUAUUAAUCUUUUCUUGGUGGCUAUUUUAGCAUGCUUCAAGCUCGCAACUUGUAAUCCAAAUACUGCAAACCAAAAUAUUCAUGCAUAUGGAGCCAUCUUAAUCGUAAGUUAGUUGAUGAGAAGAAAUUAAACUAUAUAUAUUACAUUUUUAUUUGUUUUUUCCUUGUUUAAAUUAGAGUUUCUGUAUUUAUUGUUUAUGUAGGCGUCAGUAAGUCUUGUAAUGAUCAUGGUUUACAACUGCUCCGAUCAAGUUCUUGCCACUCGAGAAAAGAGACAAGCCAAAUCUAGAGAAGCAGCAGCGAGGCACGCAAAAGAAACAACACAAGCUCGAGAAAGGUGGAAAACUGCAAGAGAUGUUGCCAAAAACCCUAAGAUGGGAUUAACUGCACAACUAUCUCAAACAUUUUCUCGCAUGACAUCUAAGAAAGAUACACCUGAUAAAGCAUCUGGAAAGUCCAAGGACAAGAAAAAAGGACCGAGUAACUUGACCAAGAUGAUGAAAUCAAUGGAAGACAACUCGAGUAACCAUGAAGGGUUUAAUGUUGGAACUGGAGGUAGUAAGCCUGGGAAGAAGCCUCAAGCUCCAAAGGGUAAACAGCUUCAUACUCAAAGUCAGAUCUUUAAGUACGCGUAUGGUCAAAUAGAGAAGGAGAAAGCUAUGGAGCAAAACAACCAGAACUUGACAUUCUCAGGAGUUAUCUCCAUGGCCCAAGACACUGAGAUUAGGUCUAGGCCUGUGAUAGAGGUUGCGUUUAAGGAUUUAACUCUUACUUUGAAGGGUAAACAUAAGCAGAUAUUGAGAUCUGUUACCGGAAAGAUCAUGCCUGGCCGUGUUUCCGCAGUAAUGGGUCCAUCAGGAGCUGGAAAAACUACAUUUCUUUCUGCCUUGGCAGGAAAGUCAACCGGAUGUACUAGGGCUGGUCUAAUCCUCAUAAAUGGUAAAAAUGAAUCUAUAAACUCAUACAAGAAGAUUACUGGAUUUGUACCACAAGAUGAUGUUGUCCACGGAAAUCUCACCGUCGAGGAGAACCUUCGUUUUAGCGCAAGAUGCAGGUAAGUCUUAGAAGUUAGAACUAGCUUGUAUACUAGAAUACAUACUGCAUAAUGUUCUAUUGAUUCUGGAAGUAAAAGACCGCACUAAUUCAUUAAAUUUUAUUUAAAUCUUUUUAAGUGUUAUUGUUUUCUUUGUGCUUGAUUAGCGUUUGUUACAACACGUUCACAUAUGUUUCUUUUACAUGCAGGCUGAGUGCUUAUAUGCCAAAAGCAGAAAAGGUGUUGAUCAUUGAAAGAGUGAUUGAAAGCUUAGGACUACAACAUGUAAGAGACUCAUUGGUUGGCACGGUAGAAAAAAGAGGAAUCUCCGGAGGACAAAGGAAACGAGUGAACGUUGGUGUUGAAAUGGUCAUGGAACCUUCUCUAUUGAUAUUAGAUGAACCUACCACAGGUUUAGAUAGUGCAUCUUCUCAGUUACUACUUAGAGCACUUCGACGUGAAGCAGUUGAAGGGGUUAACAUUUGCAUGGUCGUGCAUCAACCCAGGUACGAUAUAUAUAUGUCCAUAAUGUAUUAAUAUUUUCAUUUUAACGUUAUAAUCACAAUACAAAUAACUCGUUCUUUUUUUUUUGUUUUAUCAGUUAUACGAUGUACAAAAUGUUCGAUGACAUGAUAUUACUAGCAAAAGGUGGUCUUACCGCGUACCAUGGAUCUGUCAAAAAAAUCGAAGAGUAUUUUGCUGGAAUAGGUAUCACGGUUCCUGAUCGUGUUAAUCCGCCUGAUCAUUAUAUAGAUAUUCUUGAAGGCAUCGUUAAACCAAAUAGUGAUAUCACUAUAGAACAACUUCCCGUGAGAUGGAUGCUUCACAAUGGUUAUCCAGUGCCACAUGAUAUGUUAAAGCUAUGUGAUGGACUCCCAUCAUCAUCUGGAUCAGCUCAAAAUGAUUCCACUGACAAUUCUUUUAGUAAUGAUCUAUGGCAAGAUGUUAAAACAAAUGUGGAGAUACAAAAAGAUCAGCUACAAGACAAUUACUCCAAUUCUCAAGACAAUUCUAAUCGAGUAACUCCUACUGUAGGUCGACAGUAUAGAUAUUUUAUGGGAAGGUAUGAUUUUUCUAGAAUUUGAUAGAAUGAAAAACCUAGUAAUGUUCAUCAUGUCUACGUUAAAGUUUUGUUUAUAUGUUUCAGGAUUGGGAAACAAAGACUUAGAGAAGCAAGACUACAAGCCCUAGAUUUACUAAUAUUAUUAGUUGCAGGAGCUUGUUUAGGAACUCUUGCAAAGGUGAAUGAUGAGACGAUUAAUUCACUUGGCUACACAUACACGAUUAUAGCAGUCUGUAAGUUGUAAAAGUACACAAAUAUUGAUUUGAUUAAUCAGAACUUGCAGUAGUUUUGGAAAAUUAACCAAGGUUUAUUUUUCUUGUAGCUCUUUUGUGUAAGAUUUCAGCGCUGAGAUCAUUCUCUGUAGAUAAAAUACAAUAUUGGAGAGAAAGUGCCGCUGGAAUCAGCAGCUUAGCGCAUUUCAUGGCCAAAGACACAAUGGAUCAUCUGAACACAAUUAUCAAACCUUUAGUGUACUUGUCCAUGUUCUACUUCUUCAACAACCCGAGAUCUAGUUUCGAAGACAACUAUAUUGUGCUAGUGUGUUUGGUCUACUGCGUAACGGGCAUGGCUUAUGUAUUUGCCAUAUUGUACAGUGCUAGUGCUGCCCAGU
rnacentral:lncRNA from 1 species